AUUGUCUGCUAUUCCAAGAAUUCACACCAGACCCCAUCCCCCUUCCUUCUACUUCUUCUUCUUCAAGAUAGUGAACCCUAAACAUCUUCACCACCAUAACCGGUAACCCCCUUCAUCUUCCCCCCUCGUUCUUUCACCUCCGGUGACGAACCGGAGCAAUGCCGGUCGUUAUUCCGGCCACUCACGCACACCCUCACCUCAUCCACAGCCGCCUGAACUCUAUCGCGAGAGAGGAGACGAGCGAGUGUCGUGACGGAGAGAGAGAGAGAGAGAGAGAACGGAGAAGGAGUGACGACGUCGGUAGCGGCGGCGGGUAUCGACGGCAAACGACAACACUCCGGCGGUGGGCGACGGAUGCAGCGAUGGUGGUGCGCGGCUCGAGUUGGGUUCCAGUCGAGUUAAGGCUCUGAUUUAGUUCUGAUUCCGAUUUGGGUUCAGUUUUGGUUCUGAUGGAACCGAUGAUGGUGGCAAUGGAAGUGGUUAUGAGUCAGUCAGCGGGUUCAAGUUGGGCACGGCUCCGGUUCACUCGACACCAGGCCAUCACGGCCGUUUCGGUUCCGUUCAGCUUUCAGCCGGUUGGUUCCUGUUUCGGGUCUUGAUUCCGUGCGGGUCGAAUUUCAUUGUUUUAGAUGACGGCUCGGGUCACGGUCCGAUUUGGAUUUAGUCAAAGUUCGGGUCAAAGCUGGUCAAACAGUCAAACCCGGUUAACUGUCGGUGCGAGGCUUGGAGUCGCAAUCGUAACAACUCAUAAUCUCGAGACUUCGGUUUUCCUUCCUCCUAAUCUCGUACACUCGUCAACACUUGGAUAAUCGGAAGACUUAGCAA